rnacentral:hammerhead_ribozyme from 1 species
AUCGGGCUGACGAGUCCCAUAUAGGACGAAACGCGCGUCCUGGAU